GGGGUUGUGGCUUAGCGGUGGAGUACUCACCUAGCAUGUGCGAGGUCCUGGGUUCAAUCCUCAGCACCACA
rnacentral:tRNA from 1 species